rnacentral:misc_RNA from 1 species
GUGAACCUGCGGAAGGAUCAUUGUCGAAACCUGCACAGCAGAGCGACCCGUGGACACGUUCGAUCGAUGGGCGGGGGAGGGCUCGCUCGCCCCCCGCCCACGCCGCCCCGCGGGCGGCGGACAACGAACUCGGCGCGAUCCGCGCCAAGGAAACUAAACCGAAAGGAGCAUGCGCCCGGGGGACGCCUCCGCGGCGUUCCCGCGGGACGCACCCCUGCGAUAGCAAUACAAUGACUCUCGGCAACGGAUAUCUCGGCUCUCGCAUCGAUGAAGAACGCAGCGAAAUGCGAUACCUGGUGUGAAUUGCAGAAUCCCGUGAAUCAUCGAGUCUUUGAACGCAAGUUGCGCCCGAGGCCUCCCGGCCGAGGGCACGCCUGCCUGGGCGUCACGCGUUGCGUCGCCCCGCAGCCCCUCCCCCCCACGGGACCGGGCUGAUCGGGGCGGAUGAUGGCCUCCCGCGCGCCCCCCGCGGCGGGCAUCGGUCGGCUCCCCUUGCGACCCC